UACAGAGGUCUCAAGCGUUGUUCGGAUUCAUUGGGCGUAAAGGGUGUGUAGGUGGCGCGCUAAGUCGGGUGUGAAAUUUCGGAGCUUAACUCCGAAACUGCAUUCGAUACUGGCGUGCUUGAGGACUGGAGAGGAGACUGGAAUUCAUGGUGUAGCAGUGAAAUGCGUAGAGAUCAUGAGGAAGACCAGUGGCGAAGGCGGGUCUCUGGACAGUUCCUGACACUGAGACACGAAGGCCAGGGGAGCAAACGGG
rnacentral:rRNA from 2 species